AGGGACUCUGGCUUUGUCCCUGUUUCCCCCUUUUCUUCCUCUUCACCCACUAAAACCCUGUUUUACUCACGGUUCAAAUUGUUUGGCAGCCUGAAUUUUCAUGGCCAUGGGACAAAGAACCCCGUCUUUAGCUGAAUUAAGGAAAAGUUCUGCAACAUUUUUGACGUGCAACUUGGGGGCUCAAGCGGAGAAGCGGACGGAUCAGCAGCUCCCUGCCACUGUCCCCUCCCUGCCAGGGCUGGGACACAUGGCUCAAGGCGCUGCAGAAGGCUGGCUGGCGUUUUCUACCAUGUGCCCAUGGAAUCUCCUCCCACAGUCAGGGAGCCCAGCUCCAACCCACAGCAAUUACACUUCUCCCCCUGGUGAAGGAAACACUUGCAUAAGAAUAAGAGGUUCUUCCACAGGCAUUUUAAAACCUUUUUUCUUUCCUCUUCUCCACAAUAUCAGCAUUUAAGUUUAAGCAAGUUUUUUUAUUUCUAGAAGACAUUUUACUAGGCAAGGAAUGAUAAGAAUCCCUGUGUAUAUUCUCUAUUAAGCUUUAAUUGUGAAAAAGGAUUUGUAGGGCUAGUCUUGGGCUGUGGCCAAUCUGGUAUGCUUCCUGUGUCUGUAUGGUUUGUG
rnacentral:lncRNA from 1 species